rnacentral:rRNA from 1 species
GAUGAACGCUGGCGGCGUGCCUAAUACAUGCAAGUCGAGCGAACGGACGAGAAGCUUGCUUCUCUGAUGUUAGCGGCGGACGGGUGAGUAACACGUGGAUAAACUACCUAUAAGACUGGGAUAACUUCGGGAAACCGUAGCUAAUAACGGAUAAUAUUUUGAACCGCAUGGUUCAAAAGUGAAAGACGGUCUUGCUGUCACUUAUAGAUGGAUCCGCGCUGCAUUAGCUAGUUGGUAAGGUAACGGCUUACCAAGGCAACGAUGCAUAGCCGACCUGAGAGGGUGAUCGGCCACACUGGAACUGAGACACGGUCCAGACUCCUACGGGAGGCAGCAGUAGGGAAUCUUCCGCAAUGGGCGAAAGCCUGACGGAGCAACGCCGCGUGAGUGAUGAAGGUCUUCGGAUCGUAAAACUCUGUUAUUAGGGAAGAACAUAUGUGUAAGUAACUGUGCACAUCUUGACGGUACCUAAUCAGAAAGCCACGGCUAACUACGUG